GAUGCUGCUGCUUAUGGU
rnacentral:miRNA from 1 species